ensembl:lncRNA
AUCCUUGCCAUGAGAACACUCAAGAUUUCUUAUUUAGAGAACAGACAAAAAUGAAGGACUGAAAACUAAAGAAAAACAGAAGCACAGAUUUCUUUAUACCUUAUUUGAGUGAAUGUGUGUGGUUCUUUGAUCAUAUCAAAAGAAAACUGUUGAUGACAUGCUGAAAAAAUAAAACAACAUAACAUAUGGCAGAAAGCAUAUCAGCAUAGUACUUCUGUUUUUACACCACUUUCUACUGAAUUUUCCUGAACUACAUUUGCUAAUAUUUUACAAAAUGUAUUGAACUGUUCUGAUUUUUACUAUUUGCCAUUAUGACAGCUUUGGAAAGAACUAAUUCAUUAAAGUAGUCCACUGUUGUCAUAUAAUUUUUUUAACUUCUUUAACACUGAACUGCUUGCUCGGGUAACUGUGAAAAGUAAUAAUUACAAGCCAACAUUUGUAAAAUACAGCAUAUGAGUUUUUAAUGAGGUAUGUGUCCUAUACCAUAUUUCUGCAAGUGUCUGACUACAAAAGCACAAGAUAAAUGCAGACACAGUGAUAUUCCUUUUUGUGCAAUCUUUAGAAAACAUUGUGUGAUAAACCUCAUAUGAGUUUAUGAGUGCUUUACUCUCUGACUCUGGAGGUACUAAUUCCUAUGGAAGCGAGUAAAAGUUGACUGCGCUCAGUCGCUAUGAUUAAGCACAUCUUUACCUGUUCCAGUUGAAAGUCAUAGCAGGAACCUCUAAACUGCGUGUAUAGAAGUCUGAUCUGUGACUCUUUUCAAGGCUAUAUUUUUUUUCAUUUUCAGAUUGUUUUCCCUAAUCCAGAGACUUUAUUAAAUAAUCAUGUGCAAGGUGAAGAUCACAAAUGUAUUCUAUUAAAAGGAGAAAAAACAUUCCUCAUUAGGAAGAGCAGAUGCAUCCCAGCUAAGAGGUUUGAGGAUUAUAGAUUCAUUCAAGAAUUUUCCUUUUUUUCCAGAAAGACUGCUGUGUUGAAUUCCCAUAUCUCAGGCAUGUCUUAACUGUAUAGAUAAAAGAUGUCCUUUCUACCAAGAUACAGAACUUGCUUAGUGUAGGGGAAACCUGGGAUCUACUGUUAAACCACAGAGCAUGAAGAUUUCCUUGGAUGGUUACUGGUCAUGCAUCUAGACACAAAGGUACGUAUUUUUUCCUAGGAAGUACAUGUGCGUAAGUGUCAUUAAAGCUAACAGAAGGCUACCCGUGCCAAGGGAAAUCUAGUUCUGAGGAAUUCUUUUCAGUACAGACUUCAACUCAAACAUUAAAGAUUUUCCUUCUGUAAUAAUUUCUUUGCUAUUCUGUCCCUUUUGUUGCUGAGGUUGUCUGCUGUCCUAGAGGAUGGUUAUUUCAGCCAUUGGUAGAAUUGUUAUGAACUCAAAAUGCAAAGCUUAGACAUAAAGCCAAGAUAAGCAGCUCUUGACUUUGGGUUGUCCCUACAACACAACAACACAUCAAAAAUCCUUCCCUUUCACUGAUGUUUGGGAAGAGGACAAAGCCAAUAAGUGAGAUAAAGCAGUCUGUGUCAUAGCAAAGGAAGAAGGUAAAGUUGAUGGCAUCACUGGUGGUGUUGCAAUAUUCUCUCUACAAAGUUUUGUAUAACCAUGGGUAGGGAGAACCUGAAGGACAGGCUACAGAAAUGCAUAAGCCAGAAGAUAUCUCAGUGGUUGUCUGGUACUCAUUUCCAUCUUAAGUGGGGAAAAGGAUAGCGUUCCUCUAUCCCUCUGUUUCAGCCUCUCAACUACCAAGUA